rnacentral:rRNA from 1 species
UACGUUAGCGGCGGACGGGUGAGUAACACGUGGGUAACCUACCUAUAAGACUGGGAUAACUCGGGAAACCGGAGCUAAUACCGGAUAAUAUUUCGAACCGCAUGGUUCGAUAGUGAAAGAUGGUUUUGCUAUCACUUAUAGAUGGACCCGCGCCGUAUUAGCUAGUUGGUAAGUUAACGGCUUACCAAGGCGACGAUACGUAGCCGACCUGAGAGGGUGAUCGGCCACACUGGAACUGAGACACGGUCCAGACUCCUACGGGAGGCAGCAGCG